UUGUGGAGGAGGACGCCGAAGGUGGGGCUAAUGACUGGGGUGAAGUCGUAACAAGGUAGCCGUACCGGAAGGUGCGGCUGGAUCACCUCCUAACAGGGAGACAACAAAAUGUUUAAUAUUAUUAUUUUGUCACCUUAGGUCGAUCGGUAUCUCACGUUCUUAAUUUAUUAAGAAUUUCAUUUCCUAAGUUUUUCUAGGUCACACCCAUUAUUUUUCCUGGGCCAUUAGCUCAGGUGGUUAGAGCGCACCCCUGAUAAGGGUGAGGUCCCUGGUUCAAGUCCAGGAUGGCCCAUAUCUCUAUGUUGGGGGUAUAGCUCAGUUGGUAGAGCGCCUGCUUUGCAAGCAGGAUGUCAGCGGUUCGAGUCCGCUUACCUCCACUGAUUACCACCUCUACCAUAAUUUGUAGAAAGGAAAUGUUUUGAGUUGUGAUCAAAUUCUGAACGAAUCUAGCUUCCUAAUGAAAUCAUUAAGAAGCUGGACUCAUUGAAUUAAUUUCAUUGUUUUCAGAGAACCUUGACAACUGCAUAGAUUAUUUUAAAGACAAUAAGCAUCUUUAAUGAUGCAGAUUUAUUAUUUGUGCGAAUGCAUUAAUAACAAUUCUAUUAAGCUGAUGCUUCAAUUUUGAAGUUAUUGGUCAAGCUACAA
rnacentral:misc_RNA from 1 species